AUUGAACGCUGGCGGCAGGCCUAACACAUGCAAGUCGAGCGAGCGGCGGACGGGUGAGUAAUGUCUGGGAAACUGUCUGAUGGAGGGUGAUAACUCCUGGAGACGGUAGCUAAUACCGCAUAUCAUCAGAGGUGUCCCGAAGGGAUUAGCUGGUAGGUGGGGUAACGGGUCACCGAGGCGACGAUCCCUAUCUGGUCUGAGAGGAUGACCAGCCACACUGGAACUGAGACACGGUCCAGACGACUACGGGAGGCAGCCGUGGGGAAUAGUGCACAAUGGGCGCAAGCCGGAUGCAGCAAUGCCGCGUGGGUGAAGAAGGCCUUCGGGUUGUAAAGCACUUUCAGCGGGGAGGCGUUACCCGCAGAAGAAGCACCGGCUAACUCCGUGCCAGCAGCCGCGGUAAUUC
rnacentral:rRNA from 1 species